rfam:Hoeflea sp. IMCC20628, complete genome.
UGCGAUCUGCGCCCCUCGACAGGAUACACGAACCCUGGGGCCUUAAUUGAUCCAAAGGGUGCUGUCCCUGACCGGACUCGUGGGUCCGGACAUAUGGCGCCCACCUACGUUGUAGGUUCCCAGGAUCAAUAAAUCCAUCGGUUGCCGUGGAUCGCAC